rnacentral:rRNA from 1 species
UACGUAGGAUGCAAGCGUUGUCCGGAAUUAUUGGGCGUAAAGCGUACGUAGGCGGUUCGUUAAGUCAGGGGUUAAAGACUGAGGCUCAACCUCAGGAGUGCCCUUGAUACUGGCGAGCUUGAGGACGGCAGAGGAAAGUGGAAUUCCCAGUGUAGCGGUGAAAUGCGUAGAUAUUGGGAGGAACACCAGUGGCGAAAGCGACUUUCUGGGCCGUUCCUGACGCUGAGGUACGAAAGCGUGGGGAGCAAACAGG